AUACUAACCUGGCAGGGGAGACAUCAUGAUCAUGAAGGUAGUUUCUCCAAGGUGAGGCUCAUCAUUGCAUUCCAUAUGUGCUGAACCCUGAGAUUUCCCCAUAUUUCGGAAACUCGACUAUAUAAUUUGUGGUAGUAGGGGACUGUAUUCAUGCUGUCCCAUG